rnacentral:rRNA from 1 species
UGGGAAUUUGGACAAUGGCGAAGCUGAUCCAGCAAUGCCGCGUGUGUGAAGAAGGCCCUCGGGUUGUAAAGCACUUUUGUCCGGAAAGAAAUCCUUGGCUCUAAUACAGUCGGGGGAUGACGGUACCGGAAGAAUAAGCACCGGCUAACUACGUGCCAGCAGCCGCGGUAAUACGUAGGGUGCAAGCGUUAAUCGGAAUUACUGGGCGUAAAGCGUGCGCAGGCGGUUUGCUAAGACCGAUGUGAAAUCCCCGGGCUCAACCUGGGAACUGCAUUGGUGACUGGCAGGCUAGAGUAUGGCAGAGGGGGGUAGAAUUCCACGUGUAGCAGUGAAAUGCGUAGAGAUGUGGAGGAAUACCGAUGGCGAAGGCAGCCCCCUGGGCCAAUACUGACGCUCAUGCACGAAAGCGUGGGGAGCAAAACAGGAUUAGAUACCCUGGUAGUCCACGCCCUAAACGAUGUCAACUAGUUGUUGGGGAUUCAUUUCCUUAGUAACGUAGCUAACGCGUGAAGUUGACCGCCUGGGGAGUACGGUCGCAAGAUUAAAACUCAAAGGAAUUGACGGGGUCAUAGCUGUUUCCU